rnacentral:rRNA from 1 species
UACAGAGGUCUCAAGCGUUGUUCGGAUUCAUUGGGCGUAAAGGGUGCGUAGGUGGCGUGCUAAGUCAGGUGUGAAAUUUCGGAGCUUAACUCCGAAACUGCAUUUGAUACUGGCGUGCUUGAGGACUGGAGAGGAGACUGGAAUUCAUGGUGUAGCGGUGAAAUGCGUAGAGAUCAUGAGGAAGACCAGUGGCGAAGGCGGGUCUCUGGACAGUUCCUGACACUGAGGCACGAAGGCCAGGGGAGCAAACGGG